ACGGAAGGCAGCAGUGGGGAAUAUUGCACAAUGGGGGAAACCCUGAUGCAGCGAUGCCGCGUGGAGGAGGAAGGUUUUCGGAUUGUAAACUCCUGUCUUAAAGGACGAUAAUGACGGUACUUUAGGAGGAAGCUCCGGCUAACUACGUGCCAGCAGCCGCGGUAAUACGUAGGGAGCGAGCGUUGUCCGGAAUUACUGGGUGUAAAGGGAGCGUAGGCGGGACUGCAAGUCAGAUGUGAAAUGCCGGGGCUUAACCCCGGAGCUGCAUUUGAAACUGUGGUUCUUGAGUGAAGUAGAGGCAAGCGGAAUUCCUGGUGUAGCGGUGAAAUGCGUAGAUAUUAGGAGGAACACCAGUGGCGAAGGCGAUCUACUGGACGAUAACUGACGCUGAGGCGCGAAAGCGUGGGGAGCAAACAGGAUUAGAUACCCUGGUA
rnacentral:rRNA from 1 species